rnacentral:rRNA from 1 species
UGGGGAAUUGUUCGCAAUGGGCGAAAGCCUGACGACGCAACGCCGCGUGGAGGAUGAAGGUCUUCGGAUUGUAAACUCCUGUUGCUCGGGACGAAAAGCUCUGGCCUAACACGUCAGAGUCUGACGGUACCGGGUGAGGAAGCCCCGGCUAACUCUGUGCCAGCAGCCGCGGUAAUACAGAGGGGGCAAGCGUUGUUCGGAAUUACUGGGCGUAAAGGGCGCGUAGGCGGCCUGCUAAGUCGAACGUGAAAUCCCCGGGCUCAACCCGGGAACUGCGUCCGAUACUGGUUGGCUUGAAUCCGGGAGAGGGAUGCGGAAUUCCAGGUGUAGCGGUGAAAUGCGUAGAUAUCUGGAGGAACACCGGUGGCGAAGGCGGCAUCCUGGACCGGCAUUGACGCUGAGGCGCGAAAGCCAGGGGAGCAAACGGGAUUAGAUACCCCCGUAGUCCCUGAGCGGGCUGGCAAGGCGCAU